AGCUGGAACCACCCCUUCCCAUCCCGAACAGGACCGUGAAACAGCUCCGCGCCGAUGAUAGUGCGGAUUACCCGUGUGAAAGUAGGUCAUCGCCAGGC
rnacentral:rRNA from 1 species